AUACUUACCUGAUGUAGGGAUACCGUGAUCAUGCAGGCGGUUCCCCAGGGUGAGGCUGCUCCAUUGCACUGCGGAGCGGUUGACCCUUGUGAAUAUUAUAAUUUUAGUAAGUUUCACGUCUAUCGUGACGUAC
rnacentral:snRNA from 1 species